CCUACGGGUGGCUGCAGUGGGGAAUAUUGGACAAUGGGGGAACCCUGAUCCAGCCAUGCCGCGUGUGUGAAGAAGGCCCUCGGGUUGUAAAGCACUUUCAGUGAGGAAGAACGCCUGGUGGUUAAUACCCAUCAGGAAAGACAUCACUCACAGAAGAAGCACCGGCUAACUCCGUGCCAGCAGCCGCGGUAAUACGGAGGGUGCGAGCGUUAAUCGGAAUUACUGGGCGUAAAGCGCGCGUAGGUGGCUUGAUAAGCCGGUUGUGAAAGCCCCGGGCUCAACCUGGGAACGGCAUCCGGAACUGUCAAGCUAGAGUGCAGGAGAGGAAGGUAGAAUUCCCGGUGUAGCGGUGAAAUGCGUAGAGAUCGGGAGGAAUACCAGUGGCGAAGGCGGCCUUCUGGACUGACACUGACACUGAGGUGCGAAAGCGUGGGUAGCAAACAGGAUUAGAUACCCUGGUAGUC
rnacentral:rRNA from 1 species